UAGCUGUAUGUGCACCUUCAGUGAACUGUAUUAGCUGUAUGUGAUCUCAAAAUAUCAAUCUGUCAACGUAUCAACUCACCAGCUCCUGUUAAAUAAUGGACAAAGUGUAGAAGAAGAAACAAUAACUAGUCUAUGAUUGACCAGUUUUCCGCUAUCGCCCCGUGACUCCGGUUGCUAUGGCUUCCAUAGCUAAAAUAUGGAUGCAUUAUGCUAACGCGGCUAGCAAGUCGAAGCUUGUUCAGUAGGAGUUUUAUGAAUUUUUCAUAGAAACAUGCCUGUUUCAUAGUUACAGGGAUGUUAUGUAUGGAUACAUUACAAAUUCACAAUAUUAGUUGGUCUGGAAAAAGACACAUUUGUAGUUUAACAGCCUACUUCUCAGACCUGGUAGCUGCCAACACUUUGCAGAGGCAGCCGCCACGGGGAUGGCAGAAGGUCCCUCAGUAUAGCUCUCUUGCUCCGUCGCGCAUCGGGACUUGUGCAGGGCUAGCUGCUAGCACCUCUGCAGACCCCACACAUCCUGGACCCAAACUGUGAAGACGUUUGCCGUCGGCUCAACGCCGCAGAGGCAGUUUCUCCUCCCAAGCCAUGCGUGCGUUUCGAGGAACGAGGGACUCGUAUCUCAUUGUCGCUGCUCUGAUCAACAAGACAGAAAACAUUCGAUCCCAAGAAAAUCCGGAAACUGCGUGGUGGGAAAAUGUGUUUGUUUUGGAGCUACUGUGAUUUCUACAUCCCCUUUCUACCACAACAAUAAA